ACAGACAGACCCCAACGCAUACGCGCACGUGCACGUAGGGCCCCGAUGCAGCGUCCACCACGACCACAGCCAACGCGGCUGUCACCGUACUUCUUCCAGCAAGUUGUCUCUCACGUCCCACACGCCGCAGCCCGUGCGGGAGAUGACGCAGAAGCCGGAGUGAGCGACGGCCUUCAACAGCAGGGCAGCGGCCCGCUGCACUCAGAAGCCGCGGCAGCAGAGCCCGCUACCACCGUUGCGUGCUCGCCAUCCGUAUCGCCGCUGCCUUCGAUGACCGCAUCCGGAGCCAACGCUGGCGUGCUCGACCUCGACGCUGACGCACUUGCGGCGGUCACCGCCCGCGCCGACGCGGGUGCGCCGGUGCGCGUGACGAGCGACGCGGCGACAGACGCGAUAAUGUGGCAGUACUUCACUCCUGCUUCGUUCCGGCAGAGCUUCGAGGCGUUUGUAAGGGCGGAGAGCGCGCAGACGGAGUCGCUACGCCGCGCGGUGGAGGCGGCUUGGCGUGAUGUGGAGCAGAUCCAGCAACGCAAUGCAGUACGUCGCGCCACCUUGAGAGACAUCACUGCGGACCCCGGCGCGGCAUGGCGGAAGGAGGUGCGGGAAAAGGUCUAUUGGCAGGCAACGGACAUUGUGCAGCGCUACGGAUUUGAUGUGGUCAUGGAUGAUGAUGGCAAGGCUGGGGGAGGUGAGGCCGAGCAGGCGGGCAGGGAGCGCAUAACGCUUGACUUCUCCGUUGCCCGCGACCGUGUCCGUGCAGAUCGCGGCGGCAGCAGUAGCAGCGGCGACGACGACGACGAUGACAUCGAGGACGCCGUCAGUGGGCUCAUGCCGUCCCCCCAGCCAGAGCGGGAGCACCGGCCGAUGGCAGCACGUCUGGGCACGCAAACAGCGGCCGCCGAUCCGCUCAUGAGCAAGCCGCAGGCAAAGGCGAAGGACAACCUAUUCAAUCCCUGCGCCUGCGCGCACUUCCUGCGUCGCAUCUUCGCACCGCUGCAGAAGAUGCGGGACUCGUUGCCCAAGUGGACCACGCUGCUGUUGCAGGACGUCCACGAUGUCCAGAAGGCCGCGUUGCCAAGCCUCGAGAAGCGCGUCCAAGAUUCGGUGCUCUUCAAGGUGCCACUGCAUCGGCCCUUCCUCAAUGCACGGGCGGCACUGCAGUCGUGCGUGCAGCAGAGGCGUGUCGCGCCGGAUGCGGAGGUGGCGCAGGUGCCGGUGUAUCGGCAGCUGGAGCAGCAUGGAAAGCUGUGGAUCGAUUUUGUGCAGGCACACGAGUCGGCGGCUGCGGCGGUGGCCGCAGCGGCAGAGACGGAGAGGUUGACCCGCGUGGAGGGCCUGGUGUCAACUGCGGACUCCUCCGAGGACGAGAUCGCCGACCUGGCGCAGCGGUGGGCCACCGCCGAAGCGCUUUGGACGCUGCUCCUCGACGAGCUGGACACCUGCAAGUGCUUCUUCGCCGACGCCAUUCAUCGCCGCAGCGCCGUCCACGAUGGUGUCACCGCGGAGAUGGAGUCGCUGCAGCAGUCGGUGCAUAGCCACCGCCGCCACUGCGACGCGACGGUGGCCGCCUUGAAGUCCGACGCGGAGGCGUGCGCGGAGCUGCUGAGCCGCAAUAGGCAGCGUAUUGUGACGGCGGUGGAGGAGAUGGAGAAGACGUUCAUCUCAGAGCGGGAUCGACUGCAGCAGUCCAUCGCACAGGGCAAGGCACUCUUGACGCGGCUGGAGGGGCAGCAGGAGAAGAGUGCGCGCCGCGUACGGGAGGCGUUGAAGGUAUUCUUCACGGAGCAGCUCCAGUAUGAAGAGGCUUCGCAGGCGCUGCUGCAGGACCAUCUCAGCUUGACGCACCUGGAGGCGAGCUACGGGGAGCUGCGCCAGGCUGUCCAGCUGGGUUACGAAGGGGCGCUGGAUAGCAGGAAGAACGCCUCGGCGCUUUUGCAGCUGCUGGCCGACGGCGACACGGCGGUGCGACAGCUCUUCGAUGCCUGCGAGGCGCACUGCCGUCGCAUCGAAACAGAGAAUCACUUUAUUCAGUGCCGCCUGGUGGAUCAGUGCACGCUGGCGCUGCAGCAGCGAUGCCGCUGCGUGCAUGCGAUGGCGGCGCUGUACGAGCAGCGCUACGCCGCUCUCGAGGCCCGCUCAGGCGACUCUUGGCAGCGGCAGUUCCUGCUCUCUGGCGAACGCGACUGGGCUGUGGCGAAUCUCAGUGACGUGCGCGCGGAGCUCGUGCAGCUGGAGCAAGACUGGCGCCAGGUGUGCGCUCUGCGCGAGGAGCUGGAGCUGGAGCCCGCCCAGCUCAAUGCGCACGUGCUCACGCCCGAGUGGCAGCGACUCCUGUCGACACUGCGCAACCUCGACGCCCCUCCCUCGCUGCAGCGACGGCUGCCGACACUGCGGGCCCAUGCCGCGGAGAUGGUGCGACCGGCGGCGGGCUGUGGCCAGCAGGCGGUGCGUCACCUCCUCCGCGAUGCGGCGGCGGCGGCACAGGCGUCGGUGCUACCCGCGCCGUAACCAUGCUCAAGGCCAUGCAGGGGAUAGGAACCUGGCAGCGGUGAGGAGAGCGGAAAGCGCACUCCACCGAAAACCCCCUCCGUGGCGGCCCGGCCGCUGGUCUCUCUCUCUCUGUCGCGCGCUCAUGGUGUGUGGGCCACCGUGUAUACGAGGGCGUGACUCUGUGUGUGUGUGUGUGUGUAUGCGCGUGUACGUGUCUUGCGUCUCCCGUCUGUAUAGGAUGUGUUGGGGUGGGGCAGCUCGCGCUAGCUGAUGUACACUACGCCCCCCUCCCCCCAUCCCUCAUCCCCGGGAAGAGGAGAGACCAGCUUGUGCGUCAGAGGCGCGGUGCUUCGAGGGUCAUGCAAGCUCUCCCUCGCGCGUCCGCGUCGUCCUCCUCCCCUUCGUUGCGCUGAUGCUCUGUGGAGCGAAACGUGUAUGUAUACGUAGCCACCGCCGCCUCGACAC
rnacentral:misc_RNA from 1 species